rnacentral:lncRNA from 1 species
AUAAGUUAUUUUCGAUGAUAGAGCUUCCGAAUCGAUGAUCCACACCGUUAAACAUUAUCUAGAGCAUUUAAAACGUUUAGAAAUCAAAUUUUAUAAUUUUUCGACAUCAUUUACCUUACGAUCAAAAGCUCACAAAAUCAAUAGUUUCUAACGGCCGGUAUGAGAUAUUUGCUAGUUUAACGGUGAAAAAGAAUCGGAAUAGGUUGAAUUUUUGAUAGAAAAUUCUAUUCACUACCUAAAUAAAGAUCAAUAACUCCGAUCUUAAAUUGAAGGAUCCAAUCAUCCAUUUUUAGGAUGUCGUUCAAUUUUAACCGUUCAUUUUAUACUCGCUGAUGGACUUUAUAAUGAUUCGAAAAAUUAUGAAAUUUAUUUUUGAGAAGUUUCAAAUACUCUAGAUCAUGUUUAACGGUGUGGAUUGUCAAUUCGAAAAUCCCAACAUCGAAAAUAACUUAUGAGUAUGAAGGGCUCUAUACUCAUAAGAGUAUAUAGUAGCCACACUCUAUAUAUAUAUAAACACUUGGGGGUUA